AGAGUUUGAUCCUGGCUCAGGACGAACGCUGGCGGCGUGCCUAAUACAUGCAAGUAGAACGCUGAAGGAGGAGCUUGCUUCUCUGGAUGAGUUGCGAACGGGUGAGUAACGCGUAGGUAACCUGCCUGGUAGCGGGGGAUAACUAUUGGAAACGAUAGCUAAUACCGCAUAAGAGUAGAUGUUGCAUGACAUUUGCUUAAAAGGUGCACUUGCAUCACUACCAGAUGGACCUGCGUUGUAUUAGCUAGUUGGUGGGGUAACGGCUCACCAAGGCGACGAUACAUAGCCGACCUGAGAGGGUGAUCGGCCACACUGGGACUGAGACACGGCCCAGACUCCUACGGGAGGCAGCAGUAGGGAAUCUUCGGCAAUGGACGGAAGUCUGACCGAGCAACGCCGCGUGAGUGAAGAAGGUUUUCGGAUCGUAAAGCUCUGUUGUAAGAGAAGAACGAGUGUGAGAGUGGAAAGUUCACACUGUGACGGUAUCUUACCAGAAAGGGACGGCUAACUACGUGCCAGCAGCCGCGGUAAUACGUAGGUCCCGAGCGUUGUCCGGAUUUAUUGGGCGUAAAGCGAGCGCAGGCGGUUAGAUAAGUCUGAAGUUAAAGGCUGUGGCUUAACCAUAGUAGGCUUUGGAAACUGUUUAACUUGAGUGCAAGAGGGGAGAGUGGAAUUCCAUGUGUAGCGGUGAAAUGCGUAGAUAUAUGGAGGAACACCGGUGGCGAAAGCGGCUCUCUGGCUUGUAACUGACGCUGAGGCUCGAAAGCGUGGGGAGCAAACAGGAUUAGAUACCCUGGUAGUCCACNAAAAAAAGAACCACACCUACUAUGAACAAGACCCAGAAAAAGUAGCCUUAUUUCUUAAGAAUUUUAAUAGUUUAAAGCACCUAGCACCUGUUUAGAUUGAUGAAACAGGAUUCGAUACUUAUUUUUAUCGAGAAUAUGGUCGCUCAUUAAAAGGUCAGUUAAGAAGAGGCAAAGUAUCUGGAAGAAGAUAUCAGAGGAUUUCUUUGGUUGCAGGUCUAACAAAUGGUGAGUUAAUCGCUCCAAUGACUUACGAAGAGAUGAUGACGAGCGACUUUUUUGAAGCAUGGUUUCAGAAGUUUCUCUUACCAACAUUAACCACACCAUCGGUUAUUAUUAUGGAUAAUGCAAGAUUCCAUAGAAUGGGUAAGUUAGAACUUUUAUGCGAGGAGUUUGGGCAUAAACUUUUACCUCUUCCUCCCUACUCACCUGAGUACAAU
rnacentral:rRNA from 1 species